GGCAGAAAAGUUAAUGCUGUCAGCAUGGUGGCAAAGAAACAUGAGGCCCCCACCAUACCCCUAGGUGGGUGGGGAGAAACAGGUCUUAAAGACUCCUGGAAGUGCCUCUGGCCACCUCAUUAAGGGGUUCUCACCCUAGUUCAAGAUGUGAUACCCCAUUCUGGUUUUCCCUACUCCUUAGCACCUCCACUCUGACAAAUUCUACCUGGGCUGAGAGUUUUGGGGCCUGAGUUUCCUGAGGAGACAAGCAGGGGCAAGGGCCAAAGGUGAUCCAACCACUCUUUUAGGCCUGCCCUGUACAGAGCCCUCGUGGCUGGCUUUCUGUGCUAUGUGGCUCGGGGGCAGAUGCAGCCUGUUGGGAGUGACUGGAGAUAGCAGCCCUGGUGGAACACACAGGGUUCCUACUCAACAUUCUUCAGUGGGGCCUCUAGAUACCUGUGACACAGGGUGGCCAAAAUGCCAGAGGCCUGGCCUUUUCCCUUCUAAUCACUCUUCUUUCCUCACCUUUAGGCUGCCUUACACAUCUGUUGCCAGAUUCACAAGAAGGCCCAAGAUAAAGGUUGGGAGCAUCAAUUCACGUUGGCUAGAAAUGUGACUUCUUUAGUAUUUACCAUUUUAACAAAAUCCAUGAUAAGGGAUUUGGAAGGUCCCAUGGAAAGGAUGAAAUGACACCUCUCUGCUACCCAGUUUCUUUAAGACCUCUACGGUUGAGAAGAGAGGACAAAGGAACACCCCCACCUCUGCCAUCCUCCGAGGGAUUUUUCACAGCAAUUCCAGUGCUGCUCAGUGGAAAGCUCUGCAAGUCAACUGCAAACCCCCAGCCCCAGAUGUUAGGCAUUUACAAACUUUGUUGCUGAUUUAUCAGCGCUCCUCUGCAAUUUUGGGGACAGGAGCAAACACAAGCUUAAGUCACCACGCAGGCUGCAACCCUUACCCAAAGAUGGGGGAAAAACUCCAAAGGAGAUGCAGGAGGGAGCCUCAGCAGUCACUGUGAGAGCACAAAGAGGCCAAGACCCAGGGUAGGCAAAGGAAGGUGAGAGGCACCAGCAGGGCAGGAGGAGGAGCCAGCUAUAAACAUGCAGGCUUCCCGCCCCCUGCAUAGCAAGCUAUGGAAGGAAGCUCCAGCAAGAUUCAUGUCUAAGCUUUUCAAGUUAAAGGCUUGCCUACAUCUACAGUGAACGGUGUCUGAACAACUUUUUGAGGGAAUAAGGCAGAAUUUCUCCCUUAUGCGGAUAACAAAAGAGCUAGCCAUCCUGAAAACUUGCCACAUCGUAAUUUUCAGAGAUGGUCAGUCUCUCAGAAGAAUCCUUGCAAUUAGCUAUCAGAACCUGUCCAGUUCGGCAUGUGAGAAGGUAAUCCAGGGCAUCAUCGAGAGGAAGGGGCAUCAGGAUUCAUGGACAACAAAAAAAUCUCUGAUUCCUCCAAAAGGCGUGUGGGUCACUGAGCUCCGGAAGAGGCUGCCUCCACCAGGUCUCAUUUCACGUUGGGAGGUUACAGCGUGGGUCUUGUUUCCUUGGCUUUCCCCCAUCUAAUCCCAAAGCCAAGGUCACAACCUCUUAGCAAUGGGGUGACAAUCUCAUAUAGAGCUGCAAUCAACAGCCAUUCUUGCCAAGCUGAUAUUAACAUUUCUUUUUUCUUUUUGAUGUUACACACAAUCCUGUCCUUGCUGUACCAGAAAGCCAUUUCACCCAUCUGUCUGGGAAGAUGAUCCAAUUUUGGUGCUUUUAUCAUCAAUGCUUUCAGCAACUUUGUUCUACUUCCCCUACUGUAAUUACUUUUGAAUCAUCAACGCACCCAGACAGCCUUAAACCUCAGAGAACAGAAUGCUAAAAAAAGAAAAAAAAAACCCGCAAUGGCAAGUAACUUCACUAAAUAGCCACCCAAGCUAGGAGCAAUUUGUUUCUUUCCAGAAAUUUACUUAUUAAUAAUAAGUACCUCACACUCCUUCUUCCCCUUUUUCCAAAGGCAGGCAAGGCAUGGAGAUGGGAUGUUGUGGAGAGGACGGAGUGGGGAGAAGAAGGAACUCCAAAAGGAGCCAAUUAAAACAUCUGCUUCCCCAGUC
rnacentral:lncRNA from 1 species